UUCAAUUUAUUAUUGGGGUGGAUGGGGGAUAGAGUGGAUAGAGAGAUAAUGGCCUCUGCUAGCAGACAUUUUCACAGCCGUGUUUCUUUUCAUUUUCCUUUCGCAGAUUCCUGUUUCAUAGUGUCCAACUGUCCACACAUCAAUUCUCCUUUCACCUUCUUUCCCCUGCCCUUAUUCAUUUGGUUGUCAUCUUUAAUUCUCGGUGAACGAAUUAUUGCUUCUGUGAAGUUUGCUCACUUUAUAGAGUCGAAAACUAUACACCCCCACACGCUUGCUUGCUAUCACUUCAGGAAUUUAAGAACCCUUACACAAAACUGGUUUUCCUGUCAGAUUCUUUGUUGGAGCCACUGUUCAAUUUGCUUUUCAUUUAUGUCUUCUGUCGAAAAUUAGUUUUUGGGAAUCUUGGUUUUGUUGUAUUGGUCCAUUUCUCCAUCUGGGUUUUCUCCAGUGGAUUCUUUGGUUCUGUAGUCGUGGGUGUCUUGUUUUUUCCUAUCUUACCUUGUUUCUGGGUAUUAUUGCAUUGGUAAUUGGGUGGAUAAGGCAGCAUCUUCUUUCUCUCACCUUCUUUCACAAUCAACUUGCUUGUAGUAUACUUAAUUUGGAGUUAGGAGAGAGGUGGGCUCAUCUUGUUCCUGCUUAGUUUGAAUUAUUUUGAGGUUAGGUCUAGCUAGACAGUUUCUGUAGAUUUGACAGCUGGGGAGUUCAUCUCCCCCUUUUAUUAGUAUAAACAAAAAAAAGUCAGACGUGGUUUAAUCUGAUACUGUUUGCAACUUUUUUCUGGGUACUGUUGUGGAUGAGUCUCCUUCAUGUAAUUGGGUUUGGCUUGAUAGUUGGGAACCUUCUACUGGUGCUAUGUUGCUGGCUUGUGUCUUUAAUUUCCAUGAAUUGGUUCAUUAAUGGUGAAUCCAUGGAUUCCAAGAUUGAGUUGGUUGGUAAUGGUCCAAAGAUGUGGCUGAAGUUAUGGGAUAAGAUAUCAGGGGACAGCUGCAAGAUCCAGCUCCACUACUACCAGUAUAUAGGGUCCAAAAGAGUGAGAAAAACGUUGUGGAAGAAGCUUUUGGUGACAUGGGUAGUCUUUUGGAGCUUGGUGUCUUUGGGAGUUUGUUGGUAUAUGAGCUCCCAAGCUAUGGAGAAGAGGAAGGAGACACUUGCCAGUAUGUGUGAUGAGAGGGCUAGGAUGUUACAGGAUCAGUUCAAUGUCAGUAUGAAUCAUGUGCAGGCCAUGUCCAUUUUGAUUUCAACUUUCCACCAUAGCAAGAACCCAUCAUCUAUUGAUCAGAGGACUUUUGCGAGGUACACUGAAAGAACUGCUUUUGAAAGGCCUCUAACAAGUGGUGUGGCAUAUGCUGUGAGGGUCCUGCACUCUGAAAGGGAACAAUUUGAGAUGCGACAAGGGUGGACAAUUAAGAGGAUGGACACACUGGAGCAAACCCCGGUCCAUAAGGACGAGUAUAACCCAGAAUCCCUGGAGCCUUCCCCGUUAAGUGAGGAAUAUGCCCCUGUCAUAUUUGCACAGGAUACUAUUUCUCAUGUGGUUUCUAUUGAUAUGCUAUCUGGAAAGGAAGAUCGUGAUAAUGUGCUACGUGCAAGAGCAUCUGGAAAGGGAGUUCUCACUGCUCCUUUUAGGCUACUCAAAUCAAAUCGCCUUGGAGUCAUUUUGACUUUUGCUGUCUACAAGACGGAUCUCCCCUCAAAUGCAACUCCGAAUGAGAGAAUUCAAGCAACUGAUGGGUACAUUGGUGGAGUCUUUGAUAUCGAAUCACUUGUGGAGAAGUUACUCCACCAACUUGCGAGCAAACAGACCAUCCUCGUGAAUGUUUACGAUACCACCAACUCUUCGCAGCCUAUCAGCAUGUAUGGCACAAAUGUGUCACAUGAUGGGUUGCAGCAUGUUAGUGCACUUAAUUUCGGGGAUCCGUUUAGAAAACAUGAGAUGCGUUGCAGAUUCAAUCAAAAACAACCAUGGCCAUUGUUAGCUAUAUUGACCUCUAUUGGGAUCCUCAUAAUUUCAUUGCUUGUCGGGUAUAUAUUCCAUGCGACUGUGAAUCGAAUAGCCAAAGUUGAGGAUGAUUACCAUGAGAUGAUGGAGCUCAAGAAACGAGCUGAGGCAGCUGAUGUUGCAAAAUCUCAGUUCCUUGCUACUGUGUCCCACGAGAUCAGAACCCCAAUGAAUGGAGUUCUGGGAAUGAUGCAUAUGCUAAUGGACACAGAUCUGGAUGUAACUCAACAAGACUAUGUCAGAACUGCACAGGCCAGUGGGAAAGCACUAGUUUCUCUUAUAAACGAGGUUUUGGAUCAAGCGAAGAUCGAAUCUGGUAAGAUUGAGCUUGAGGCAGUUCAAUUUGAUCUGCGGGCGAUUUUGGAUGAUUUGUUAUCACUUGCUUCUGCGAAGUCUCAGGAAAAAGGAGUGGAGCUUGCAGCUUACAUCUCUGAUAAGGUUCCUGAGAUGCUGAUUGGUGAUCCGGGUAGGUUUCGGCAAAUCCUCACAAAUCUCAUUGGCAAUUCAAUCAAAUUCACCGAGAAUGGGCAUAUUUUUGUCACUGUCCAUCUCGUUGAAGAGGUAAUGGAAUCUAUAGAAGUUGAAACAGAAUCAUCAUCUAAGAAUACAUUGAGUGGAUUUCCUGUGGCGGAUACACAUCAGAGCUGGGAAGGAUUCAGAACUCUCAGCCAAGAUAGGCGUUCUCUGUCACGGUUGUCGUCGUCCGCUGACCUUGUCAAUGUAAUUGUCUCUGUAGAGGACACGGGUGUUGGGAUCCCUCUAAAAGCACAAAAUCGCGUUUUCACACCCUUCAUGCAGGUGGGCCCCUCAAACUCCCGAAUACAUGGUGGCACUGGGAUUGGGUUAAGCAUAAGCAAGUGUUUGGUAGGCCUCAUGAAAGGUGAAAUUGGGUUCACAAGCGUACCCGGGGUGGGGUCCACCUUUACUUUUACUGCUGAAUUUACUAGUACGAGUGAGCUUAGGAACCAACAUAUCAACAACCAGUCCAAUUCAGUUUCUUCAGAAUUUCGUGGCAUGACUGCUGUAGUUGUGGACCCUAGAAAUGUCCGGGUCAAGGUGUCUAGAUAUCACAUCGAGCGGCUGGGAAUUCACGUUGAAGUGGUUCCUGAUUUGAAUCAAUGUUUCUUAACCAUAGGCACUGGGAAUACAUCUAUUGACAUGGUUCUUAUAGAACAGGAAGUUUGGGAUAAGGACUUGGCUUUUUCCUCUCUUUUUAUUGAUAGAUUAGGAAAACUCGAGCUCAGUGUUCCUCCAAAACUGUUUCUUCUGUCUCUCUCUCUCAGUUCUACCAGAAGUAGUUUUGCAACUUCCCAUGUUUAUAAUCCAACUGUCAUCACAAAGCCCCUGAGAGCUAGUAUGUUAGCGGCGGCACUACAACGAGCCAUGGGUGUUGGGAACAAGGGGAAUGGAUGCAACGGAGAACUCCCUGGUUUGUCUCUUCGCAAUCUGCUUCUGGGGAGAAAGAUUUUGGUUGUGGAUGAUAAUUAUGUAAAUCUUAGAGUAGCUGCCGGAGCCUUGAAGAAAUAUGGAGCCGAUGUGGUGUGUGCAGAAAGCGGAAAGAAGGCGGUUUCAUUGUUAAAGCCACCCCAUGAAUUUGAUGCCUGCUUUAUGGAUAUUCAGAUGCCGGAAAUGGAUGGGUUUCAAGCUACAAAAAAAAUUCGAGACAUGGAACACAGCAUGAAUGGUCACUUCCAACAAGGAGAACUAUCGGCAGAACCAUGCGAAAACGUAUGUGAUUGGCAUGUGCCAAUUUUAGCUAUGACUGCAGACGUAAUUCAGGCUACGCAUGAGCAGUGCUUAAAGGGUGGAAUGGAUGGCUAUGUUUCGAAACCAUUUGAACCCGAACAACUUUAUCGUGAAGUUUCACGCUUUCUCCGAACUGCAGCCGAUCAUAACUCAUAGUGAGGGCUCAGUUGUAGAAACUGACAUAAUUCGUGGUUUUGGUUGGGGUUCUUUCCCUUGUAUUUCAGGGAGAUGAUUUGUGUUGGCAUCAGAGUAGGGCUCUUUACCGGCUAGGGUUCCACUUUCCCAGCAUUCAGAGGAUUCACGAAAGAGUUAUGGACUACACUUGUACCAUAGGAGUUCUGGGGUCGCAUUCUCUUUCUUCUCUAACUAAGAACACAAGGUUGCUGUCACUUGAAGAGAUUUCACAUUUUUUCGGUUCCGCCCUCGGGAGAUCUACAUUUGUAUCAUAAAGAUUUUUAUCUAGAGGCUAGAAUCAAUCACACCGACUCUUGGCAACAGAGAGUAGAUGAUGGUGUACAUAGUUAGCCCAUUUCCCCAGUGAUCUUGUUCAAACUGAGAACUCAUGUAAAUAUUGCAGUAAACCAAUUUGAGUUGUAUCACAAAUUUUGGCCUGUUUUGUGCAAA